UCAACUGACGCUAAAGCUCGAAAGUGCGGGUAUCGAACAGGAUUAGAUACCCUGGUAGUCCGCACGGUAAACGAUGGAUGCCCGCUGUUGGCGAUAUAGUGUCAGCGGCCAAGCGAAAGCGUUAAGCAUCCCACCUGGGGAGUACGCCGGCAACGGUGAGACUCAAAGGAAUUGACGGGGGCCCGCACAAGCGGAGGAACAUGUGGUUUAAUUCGAUGAUACGCGAGGAACCUUACCCGGGCUUGAACUGCAGAGGAAGGAAUGAGAGAUCAUGACGCCCUUCGGGGUCUCUGUGGAGGUGCUGCAUGGUUGUCGUCAGCUCGUGCCGUGAGGUGUCGGCUUAAGUGCCAUAACGAGCGCAACCCUUUUCUUCAGUUGCCAUCAGGUUAAGCUGGGCACUCUGGAGACACUGCCGCCGUAAGGUGUGAGGAAGGUGGGGAUGACGUCAAAUCAGCACGGCCCUUACGUCCGGGGCUACACACGUGUUACAAUGGGUGAUACAGAGCGUCGGCGUCUGGCAACAGCCGUCCAAUCGCUAAAGUCAUCCUCAGUUCGGAUUGGGGUCUGCAACCCGACCCCAUGAAGCUGGAUUCGCUAGUA
rnacentral:rRNA from 1 species